CGAGCGGCGAAUUUUGGUUCGAGUUAUGAGCUCCGAAGCUGCUUCUUCAAAGCUUCUUCACCAAUUGCUGGGACCAGAAAAUGUGCAGCGUUGGUGUCGGGGUUGUCCUCUGUUACUUCACCAACGAUUUCAUCGUUCAACGAGGUCGAAAUAUUGAAAAUCUUGUUAUGCAUAGUGUGCUUAGCUUUAUUGGCAAAGUAGAUGUAAGUCCCAAUACAUAUCUCCUACACCAAGAGCUGCUUAACUUCAUGCUCGUAGCCAUGUCAACUCAGCUUCUUUCUGGGCCAUCACCAGGACCCAAGGAUAUUCACCCAUUCAUUGAUAUGGCAAUGGUCCAGGAAAGCUCUUUUGUUGGUUUGGUUGUUCGCAAACUGCUACUUAAUUACAUCAUGCGACCUCACUUCGCCUUAAAUACUGCAUCUUAUGACAUGUUUUCUGAAGGAAAUCAGUCCGGUGUUUUACAGAGAGUUGGUUCUGCAACUGUUGAAUCACAGAUGAUGAUGGUUCUUAUUUAGAUCCUUUGUUGGAGACACUGUGGAAUAUAUUAUCAUGUGCAUCAUACUCCCUUCUAAGAUCUAUCUUCAUGCUUUCAUAUACAGGUGUUCUCAGCUUUUGGCUUUGUCCACAAGAUUGCAACUUUUGAGAAGGCUGCAGGUUUUCAGGUGUGAUGUCGAAAAUCGCCUUCUUCUUCUUCUUCUUCUUCUUCUCUCUCUCUCUCUCUCUCUCUCUCUCUCUCGUUUUUCUUGUAUUUUUUUGGUAUCUGCAUUGGUCUUUCUG